AGUCAGUGACUUUGUCAUGCCGUCAGCGCCUCAGUCGACGCGUCAAAAAGCGUUUCUGCAGCGGCGCGUUUUUCAGUGAGCCGCCCAAGAAGACGGCCGCACGGACUGACAGCUAGUCAGCUGGCAAGAAGUAGGUAAGCAAGUGCUGCUAGCCACAAGUUGGCGCGGCCCAGCAGUCGCUCAGUAACUUCAGUCGGUUCAGUUGGGCGACCCAAGCCGCAAUCGUAAAGCGCAAUCGAAGUAAUCGAGUUCAGCCGAAUUGAAGCGAAAUUAGCGCCGCUAAGAAUUCUGCGAAAAAAUAGUGAAGCAUAGCUAAAGAAAGCGCAAAUCGGAAAGUUCUAAGUGAAAGUGAAGUGCGUUUAAUUUAACGGUAAUAAUAAAGUUUAUCACUGAAACAUAAAAAUCAAGUGGAAAGCGCCUCUGGCAAGAUCUAUAGCGCGAUCAGUAAGUGUUAUAGUGUGCAGUUCAGUGUUUGCCGUCAGCUCGAAAGCUCCCUGGCAGUGUUGUCCUUGUGCGUCUUGCCCCUAAAUGCUGUUUUGUUUGUGUCGGCGAGUGCAUUUCUUAUCCUCUCCGCCGUGUGUUUCUAUUCACAUUCACCGCUCGUCCCAUUUUCACAUGUAAUGGGACUUUCGUGUCCAAUGCACAUUCGAUCCAUCAUCUCUUCCGUCCACCUGUUAGUCGUGUGUGUCUCUUGUGUGCGCCUCAAUGUUUACCUGCUGUCAGGGCCGCUUUAAUGGCGGUGUUUUAUUUCAUCGACUUUUUGUGUUGAUUUCAACAGUUUGCAGUGGCUUCGUCAUGGCUCUAAGGCGUAUGGAUUCAUUCAAACGAUUUAUGGAUCGGAUUCGGAAUUGGUGGAUGCUAAAAAUAAACUGUUAUGUGUAUACUCCUUUGCAGCACCAUCGCUAAGCAGAAGUUUUAUGCAAAACUAAAAGGAAAAUU